rnacentral:lncRNA from 1 species
GGCUCUACCUGAAGCUGUUCUUGCUCUAAGAUCUCUGCUGGAACUUGUACACAUUUCUUCAGUUGAGACACAUGGAAAACAUCGUGUAUGGCCGACAGCUGUUCUGGGAGUUGGAUCCUGUAAGCGACGGGUCCACAUAUCUCCACAAUCUCAUAAGGGCCAAUGUAACGGGGAGCCAACUUGCCUUUUACUCCAAACCAUUGUACUCCUUUGGUCGGGGAGACUCGAAGAUACACAUGAUCACCA